CUAAUCAGAGAACAGAAUAACUUUCUGACCAUGAGUUUUCAAUAUCCUUAAAUAUUAAACUCCAACUCCCUGUAGAAAAAGAAAAAGGAAGAGGGAAUCAACAAAAAAUAUGGGAAGAGACUCAAUUGGGAUAUGUUCACAGAAGACACAAUGUGUAUCAAAAGAAAUAUACCUGAUUGGAAUGCAUGACUGGAACUAAGUGAUAAAGAAUCAAACUCAAGGUGACAAAUCUGGACUGGAAGAUGACUUUGAUCCACAAAAGUGGAAAUACUGAGCUAAGAUAUUAAGUAACCCAAACAUCCUGGAGGACAGUAAUGGCAUAAUACCUGAAGAGCAGUUCAAAGUCUUUCAUCCAUUCUACAAGUGCCCAUGUGGCAGCCCUGAUAUUGAACAGCUGGACAGAUUGCACCCUGGAGCCACAUCUGCAGCUAUAUACAUCAACACCACUUUCAUUGCUUUGGUGCUGAAGAAGUUUAACUUCUGUCAGUGAGAUUUACUACCUUUUUCAUGAAUUGUUAAGAGUUUUUUCCUCCUCAACAUACACUUUUCCAUCUCUCUUACCUUAUUUGGUUCUCCAAUCAUGUUAGUAUUAUCUGAUACUUAAUGUAAACAGCUUGUUAUUUAACCUAUUUAUUUAACCCUUCUUAUGGUUAAUUAGGAUUUGAAGGAGGUCUCAUAAAGAAACAUUAAAUGCUAAAAUGAGUGACAUAAGUUAAAAAAGGGAAAGAUUCAAUAGUUAAAUAGACAAUAAGAGGAUAAAUCAGAGAUAUAGAAUCAAAGAGACCAUUAGAGUCUUUUCCCUUUUUC
rnacentral:lncRNA from 1 species